ACUCCGUCUCAAAAAAAAAAGAAAAAAAAAAAAAGAGAGAGACUGUUUAAUCAGCUUCCAUAGUUGCAUAAGGUGAAAUCCUUGUCUGUCUGUCUAUCUAUCUAUCUAUCUAUCUAUCUAUCUAUCUAUCUAUCUAUCUAUCAUCUAUUAAUCAUCUAUCUUUUUCUCUAUCUAGCUGUCUAUUUGGAUGUCUGGCCAUCUUAUCCCCAAAAAGUUCUUCUUCUCUGUCUGAACCCUGACUUACACAUAGGACAAAUAAAUUUCAAAUCCAAAUAAAAUUUCACAUACCAGGUAUUUUAAAAUUCUACUGAAAUUCUACUAUUAGAACAGUUACCUCUAGCUUGCAGGCCAUUCAAGUGCAUAGUAGUCACAAACAGACAAAAGCAUCAAUGGUGGAUUAAAGACAACUGCAAAUUCUUUGAUAUUUCUCCCAUUUAGAGGUGGGGUCUACUUUCCCUUUUCUUGAAUCUAGGCUGGCCUGUGACUGCUUUGGCCAAUUGAAUAGGGAAGAGUGAUGCUGUGCUGUUUCCAGGCCUGUUCUUUAAAAGGACUUGGAAGCUUCUGCCUUGGCCUCUUGGUGCCUGAGUUGCUGUAUAAGAAUCUGACUUCCUUGCUGGAGAGACCUUGUGGAGAAGACUUGACCUUAUAUGCAGAGGUAGAGGAGCCCUGGUUAGUCCAGCCAUCUAGCCAUGCUGUCAAAAUAGCAGAUCCAUUUCCUGCCCUUGUCUUACUCUACUCUGCAUUACAGCCAACCACAUUUCCAGGCUCCCUUGUCCUCUGCUAUCUAGGAACGUGCACCUCUGCUUGGAGUGUUGUCUCUCCUGCCAUGUGUACCUGGACAUGCUGGGGAGAGAAAGUGGACUUCAAGGACGUGGAGGAGUUGAAUAUUAGUUUUGUAUACAUCAACAGACCACCUUCUACUUCCACAACAAGGACUUUUAAAACGUGAAGUGAGGCUGAGAAUGCUAGAGGCAUGGUCCCUCCCUGCAUCCACUGCAAGAUGUCCCACAUGCCAAGGGAACAGACCUGCUGAGCCUCCCAUGCCUCAUCAUCCAACGACUCAUCCCGAAGCAGAAGCCAGUUGUGCAAGGCAUGACUUUGCAUUGUUUCCUAUACUCACUUCCCUUUUUUCCUUUUUCUGCAGCUUCCCUGGCCUGGGCUUGUGCUUCCCAAAUAAAAUAUCAGCACUUUAGUCCUUGCUUCAGGCUGUCUUUUUCCCUAGAAAACUAAAGCCGUAUCUUAUUAGACUGUUACCGAGCAUGCCUGAUGGGUUGGUGUCCUCACUUCCAGUCACUGACCCCUUUCCAGUGGAAUCCAACACUGAAGCACAAGUCAAAUGUGGCACUCCCUUUCAGCGGGCUCCCACCAUCUGUAAAAUAGAGCCCAUACUCUUAUCGUCUGGUGUUAAUAGCUCUCUAGAUUUCGUCUCAAACUAAUUUCCCUGUUUUAGUUUCAGUGAUUUUUAAAUUCAUAUACCCUGUUCUCUAACUAAACUGAACUACUUGAACCUUUUUUUAUUACCCUGUAUCUUCUGACCUCCGUGCCCUUAAUUAUGCUUUUCCCUGAAUCUGAAAUGUUUGCACUUACAUCUCCUCUCUAUGUUUUAAAUUCUGUCCAUCAACGGCAAGCUCAAAUGUCAUCUUCUCAGAUUAAUUACCAAUUCCCUCCUCUCUGCUGCCAGCCCACAAAAUUUAAUAAUCUAUUUUUUUGGAACCCUCAAAUCAUCUUGUCUGUGCUUCUCUUGUGGUACUUCUUACUUUUUACCCUAUGUUAUAGUAUUUUGCGAUAUUUCUUCUCCCCAGUUAGACCAUAAGCUCCUUGAGAGUACAUCUGACUGAUUCAUCUUUGUUUCCCAGAGGCCUGGCAUGGUAACUUGCACAUAACUAGUGUUUAAGAAAAUUUUAUGAAACAAAUAAACAGUGACUGGGCAUGGUACCCCAUGUUUGUAAUCCCAGCACUUUGGGAAGCUGAGGCGGACAGAUUAUUUGAGUCCAUG